GCUCGGGGUAAAAGCCAAAUUCAAAUCAUGUUGGACUCAACCGCGCAGCAUGGGAGAAAUGUCGCAAUUGUCUUGCUUGAAAUGCAUCUUGUAAGCCCAGCCUAAGCCCGUCAUCUUCCCCCAUCCCGAUUAUCCAUAUUUGCAUCCAAAUGUGCUAUAAUACCACGUUGGCUGAGGCAAUUAGCAGCUCUGAAACAAAGAGCGCGCAAAGACAGUCGGCACAAGGGAAAGAAGCGUGACUGCAUUAACCGCGUGGUCUGAAAAGAAACGCGGUCAUCGCCUCUGUUGUUUCUCUCUUGUGUAUUCACUUCACAUUGUGUUUUCACAUAACAUGGCCUCGAAAAAUGGCAUCUUUUGUUUGCCGCCCGUCGACAACAAAUCCUCAGAGAGCAGUCCGCCGGCUCCUCUGUCUUGGAUGUAUUGAUCGGAAAAAAAAAAAAAAAAAAAAAAAAAAAUCAGGGGACGUCAUUGCCAAUUUUGAAUUCCGGCAGCCAAUUUUCUUAAGCGCUCGGAAUAUACAUCAGAUACACCUGACACGUAAAAAGCUGAGUGGUGGGGGGAAUAAAAUAAAUAAAAGAAAAAAACAUAUGCGGUGUCUGCCAGCCCGGAGGACGCCCGUGGCUAUUUCUCACCGAAGAAUGUGAGACAAAAAAAAAAGAAAACAAAAAAAAAACAAUGUGAAAUAUUAUGCAUGGGAGAAGCUGCCGACAGCAACUACAAUGCAGAUAGAAGACUGCAAGCUAGCUAGCUUGCUAGAUAGAUAGAUAGAUAGAUAGAUAGAUAGAUAGAUAGAUAGAUAGAUAGAAACGUGAUUUCUUACAACUUUGGGUGUUUGAGAACGCUUUACUGCGCAAACAUACCCAGAAACACUUAAAAGUAAUUUGAAGCUAACAUCUUACUACUACCAUGAAAAAUAAAGGCGGCCAGCAAAAAACAUCCACCUGUGAUGUAAAUUCUCUGGGACUUGCGCUAACAACACUGGCUAAACUUAGCUCCUCCCCUUCAGUCUUGAUGCAUCGUUUCAACAUUCUACCUUGACACCUAAUGACUAAUUUCCUAUUAACCUGGGCUUUGGUGCCAUCUUGUGGCAUGUGAGGUUGCUACAGAAAAAAAGCAUGCUCCCACUAGCCGUGACAUAAGCUAGCCAGAGGCUUAGCUGC